GACGAACGCUGGCGGCGUGCCUAAUACAUGCAAGUAGAACGCUGAAGGAGGAGCUUGCUCUUCUGGAUGAGUUGCGAACGGGUGAGUAACGCGUAGGUAACCUGCCUGGUAGCGGGGGAUAACUAUUGGAAACGAUAGCUAAUACCGCAUAACAGUAGAUGUUGCAUGACAUUUACUUAAAAGGUGCAAUUGCAUCACUACCAGAUGGACCUGCGUUGUAUUAGCUAGUUGGUGGGGUAACGGCUCACCAAGGCGACGAUACAUAGCCGACCUGAGAGGGUGAUCGGCCACCUGGGGACUGAAACCCGGCCCAACCCCCUACGGGGGGGGGCAGUGGGGAAUCUUGGGCAAUGGAGGGAAGUCUGACCGAGCAACGCCGGGGGAGGGAAGAAGUUUUUGGGAUGGUAAAGCUCUUUUGUAAGAGAAGAACGAGUGGGGGGGGGGAAAGUUCCCCCUGUGACGGUAUUUUACCAAAAAGGGACGGCUAACUACGU
rnacentral:rRNA from 1 species